rnacentral:lncRNA from 1 species
GCCCAUAGGAUGCCCAGGGGUGAACUGUCCUGAGCUGCCGUGGUCUAGACGCCUGCCUGCCCCCGCGUGCCCCACACAGCCCGCCCGCACACCCAGCAUGGAGUCCAGAGGGAAGUCGACUAACAGCCCCAAGGCCGACGCUAAGGCCACGGCCGAGACCCGAGCCCCUGCCGCCGUGGACGGGAAGGCCCCGUCCUCUAAGCCAGGGAAGAAGGAGGCCCAGGCAGAGAAGCAGGAGCCGCCGGCAGCCCCCACGCCGCCACCUGCCAAGAAGACCCCAGCCAAGGCAGACCCGGCCCUUCUCAACAAUCACAGCAACCUGAAGCCGGCCCCCGCGGCCCCCAGCACCCCCGAUGCGGCCCCCGCGCCCAAGGGCCCUGGGGACGGGGCUGAGGAGGGCGGGGCCCCCAGUGGGGGCCCCGGCAGCCGGGGGCCCUGCCCUUUCGAGAACUUGACCCCGCUGCUGGUGGCUGGGGGUGUGGCUGUGGCUGCUGCAGCCCUCGUUCUCGGGGUGGCCUUCCUGGUCCGAAAAAAAUGAUGGCCGGUGCCCAGGCUGGGCACAGCCACUUCCUGUACAGACCUUGGGAGUCUAGUGCAUGCCGAAUUCACACACCGCUAUCUAUACAUAUGUAAUACCUAUAUCGUGUCCCCCACAUACAAGCAGAGGGAGAGAGAGGUGGACAGGCCCCUACAGCAGUGGAGACCCAGCCCCCUUGAGCAGUCCCGAGGGCAGAAGGAGGCCAGGCUCUGCGGGUGGAUCCCUGACACAGGGUGGGGGCUCCAUGUGGACCCAGGCACCAGCGGACGGAUGGAGAAGCGGGCUCUGCAGGUGGCCUGCCUGCCCAAGUAUGCCAGCCUGUGCCAAGGGCCCCAGUGGUCCUGUGGUCUUCUGGCAGCAGCUCCUGAUGAAUGCCCAGGGUAGUAGGGCUGGGCAGGGGCCUGGGAUGGAUUCUGAGCUGGGUCCAGCAGACAUGGGGACAUUAAAGGGUGUAGCCAGGAUGGGGGUUCCUCUGGGUGGGCUGCCUCAGUGGGCUGAUCUGAGGUGGGUGGUCACAUUGGCUGAGUUUCCGUGCCUCCUGCCUGCUUGCUUGAGCCCUGGCUGGGUGGACAGACAGCUCAAAGGCUCGUGUCAGAGGCACUUUUGA